ACUGGGUGUAAAGGGAGCGCAGGCGGGAAAUCAAGUCAGCGGUGAAAUCUACAGGCUUAACCUGUAGCCUGCCGUUGAAACUGUUUUUCUUGAGUGGAGUAGAGGCAAGCGGAAUUCCGAGUGUAGCGGUGAAAUGCGUAGAGAUUCGGAGGAACACCAGUGGCGAAGGCGGCUUGCUGGGCUCUAACUGACGCUGAGGCUCGAAAGUGUGGGGAGCAAACAGGAUUAGAUACCCUGGUAGUCCACACUGUAAACGAUGAUUGCUAGGUGUGGGGGGUCUGACCCCCUCCGUGCCGGAGCUAACGCAAUAAGCAAUCCACCUGGGGAGUACGGCCGCAAGGUUGAAACUCAAAGGAAUUGACGGGGGCCCGCACAAGCAGUGGAUUAUGUGGUUUAAUUCGAUGCAACGCGAAGAACCUUACCAGGUCUUGACAUCCAACUAACGAAGCAGAGAUGCAUCAGGUGCCUUUCGGGGAGAGUUGAGACAGGUGGUGCAUGGUUGUCGUCAGCUCGUGUCGUGAGAUGUUGGGUUAAGUCCCGCAACGAGCGCAACCCUUGCCAUUAGUUGCUACGCAAGAGCACUCUAAUGGGACCGCUACCGACAAGGUGGAGGAAGGUGGGGACGACGUCAAAUCAUCAUGCCCCUUACGACCUGGGCCACACACGUAAUACAAUGGCCGUUAACAGCGUGAAGCAAUACCGCGAGGUGGAGCGAAACACCAAAAACGGUCUCAGUUCGGAUCGCAGGCUGCAACCCGCCUGCGUGAAGUUGGAAUUGCUAGUAAUCGCGGAUCA
rnacentral:rRNA from 1 species